GCCGGGAUGGUGGAACUGGUAGACGCGGCGGACUCAAAAUCCGCUGUCCGCAAGGACGUGAGGGUUCAAGUCCCUCUCUCGGCA
rnacentral:tRNA from 1 species